ensembl:misc_RNA Metazoa_SRP Metazoan signal recognition particle RNA
GCCGGGCGUGGUGGCGUGCACCUGUAAUCCCAGCUACUCAGGAGGCUGAGGCAGGAGGAUCGCUUGAACCUGGGAGGUGAAAGUUGCAGUGAGCCAAGAUUGUGCCACUGCACUCCAGCCUGGGUGACAGAGCGAGACUCUGUCUCAA